AAAAAGACAAAACUGGUUUCCGUGUCCAACGUUUAACCGUCCGUCUUAUUUAAAAAAAUUUAAAAAGAUACGUCACGUAUAAAGUAUUAAUCAUAUUUUAUUAUCUAACAACAAUGAAAAUAUUAAUUAUAAAAAAAUUUCAUAUAAGACGGACAAUCAAACGUUAGCACGGGAACUCACGGUUUGCUUUUUU
rfam:Oryza meridionalis cultivar OR44 (W2112) chromosome 6, whole genome shotgun sequence.